rnacentral:rRNA from 1 species
UACGAAGGGGGCUAGCGUUGCUCGGAAUCACUGGGCGUAAAGGGUGCGUAGGCGGGUCUUUAAGUCAGGGGUGAAAUCCUGGAGCUCAACUCCAGAACUGCCUUUGAUACUGAAGAUCUUGAGUUCGGGAGAGGUGAGUGGAACUGCGAGUGUAGAGGUGAAAUUCGUAGAUAUUCGCAAGAACACCAGUGGCGAAGGCGGCUCACUGGCCUGAUACUGACGCUGAUGCACGAAAGCGUGGGGAGCAAACAGG